rnacentral:lncRNA from 1 species
AGCGGUAGUGGUCUCGAUGACACGGCACAAACAAGAAACUAGUAAACUACUGAUCUUUGGAAUCUGAUAAUGAUCCUUGCUGCUGACUCGCUAUAUGAUUCAACACACUGCUUUGGCUUCCUUUCUUUCUUUCCCUAGCUACUUUCCUAGACUUAACGAGCACUGACACUAGAGCACUUAAACAAAACUUGGAAGAAUUGAUCUGGUCUAAGCAGACUACUUAUUAGGUCUAGGACAACUGGGAUUCUAGCCGGUAGUAGCUUGUCUCUUCCUUUUUGGUUGCAUUCUUUCAUUUUUCCGUUUUCUUCUUAUUAGUACUCGUUUCAUUCUUCCUUUUUUCAUCAAGGUUCAAUUCAGAGUUUCUUGUUCAAUUAUUACACGGAGCACCCGGCACUAGAUCGUGCACCCCCUAUUCUUAUUAGAUACUUUACUCUAACUGGAACUGGCAAUUCCACACUUCACCCAUUCUUAAAGGAAGGAAAGGAGCACUAGGUUUGCUCUGAGUGGGCCAAUUCUGACUUCCGAGUUUUCUUCUGACUUUCUUUUGAGUUUCACUAGGUUUACGAGAAAGAGCUAUAGGGUGGUUAGUGACUUCUUUUCUUCUAUUUAUCAGAAAGGGAUAUGACUGAAUGAACACUUAUAACUAAUACUAAUCAUAAGGGAGCAAUUCCAGUUUCCUUUUUUGGUAAACUGGGCUCCUCCUCUUAUAGGGAAAGCUGUUGUCAGUCAAUCAGGCAAAGGUAAAGCCAAGCACGCAAAGUCCAAGGACAAGUCCUGUUUCUUACAGUCAGCAGUGAAGAAGCUAGGGCAAAAGAUCUAGUUUUGGAGUGAAGUGAGCGGUGAGGAAUUUCUAGUGUGAGUUUAGCAAGUGAAGGUUCCUUUAUUCGUCAGAGUUUUGAGUUUAGCAAGUUAGGUUCCUUUAUUCGUCAGAGUUUUGAGUUUAGCAAGUUAUAGGUUCCUUUAUUCUAUAUUGAUGAUCGCCCAUAUUCCAUAUUCUUCUAGAUAUAUUCCAUUUGAUACUGAGAUAAGUCUUUUCAACAAGCAAGCAAAGGGUAGUGUUCCAGCCAAGGGGAAUAAACCAAGUAAAGGAAGAAACUAGUGCCCAAAGAGAGUAGUGGGUGUUAGGUUCCCGCACUCCCAGUUUAGAGUAAGCAGUCUGGUUCCGCACACGUAGCUUGUUCCCCGAGAGUUAUAUGUGAGUAAGCAGUUAGGUUACCCCUAAUUAUAUCAUGUGAACACUAUAUUCAACGAUUUCUUCUAUUUGAUCAAUUAUAUUAUUUCGAGAUAUAGAUUAUUUGAAAUGGAAUUCCAUAAGUGAGCGCACUAAUUAGCUAGUUUAGGAGUAAUGAGAACGAAGGUCUUUCGAAAGUAAAGGUACCGCUAACUCUUUCACUAUAGGAAGCAAAAGGGAUGCUAUUUGUUGAAUCAAAUCCAUACUAUGCACACGCUAAAUAACUAUGAAUGGAACAAGCAAUGCAAGGGGGAACUAAAGGGUAGAAACAAACAACAAACAAUGCAAGGUCGAACUCAAUAGGUUAAACGACUCUAACUCUUUCUGGCUUCUUCAGCCUUUCCCCGGCUUUAGUUAGCUUUGGAGUAAUAAGUGAGUUUCCAGUGUUGUUACAAUAUGAUUAAGUUAAGCAUCAUACGUGCACUCAAUUAAAAGAACUCGCUUCCGCCCACAAUGACACUCGAACAGAACUAUAACUCGUUGUAAACUCUACUACUUUGAGCUACUGCACCGACACAAGAACAGAAAGAUGAUGCAACACCUGCUUUGCUUACACCUUUUCCCUUACCGAUCCGUGAACCCCUAUUCCUCUACACCCCUAUUCCUCUCCGUGUAGUAAAUCUCUAUUCUUUUUCACUAUGCCUAUGUUCUUUAGUGCAACAACGUCUGCCCUAUCUUUGUCCUUUAAUCAGGUGUGCAGCCUAUGUUCUUUAGUGCAACGUCUGCCCCCUCUGUCCUUUAAUCAGGUGUCUUGCCUCUGCCUCAAAGUCCUGAGGAAGCAGUGUUGUUACUCAAUUCGUGAAGAAAGCAAUGCCCCGUGUUCUUUAAUCUCUUCUAUCAUAUGUUGGAUAUAGAUAUUAUUUUCCGUAUUGGCAAAAGAACAAGCAAGCAAUGUUUUCGCUUAAGUUAGUUUCGCUGUUUGGAAGGAAGGAGGUUACUCUCUUAUGGAAGUAGUGGUGACUUACAUGACUAUUGAAUUGGCAUAGAUUUCGGAGAUGAGAUCCUAUAUAGAAAUCCUUAUAAUGUAUUAUAGAGAUAGAGCAGUCAAACAAAGACACAGGAGAAUAAGAAUAACAGACUCGCGAAGGUAUGUAUGUAGACCUUUAAUCCAGACGAUAGGGGUAGCAAAUUAGAGAGAUUAGCUAGGAGCAACUUUCACCCAUGCUAAACUACUUGAAAUCCCCCUUCUUCAGCCUUAACCAAACAAGAAGCAAGGGAUACUUUAAAGGAAUCAAAGAAUAAUAUGGGAAUUGAAACCCAUCUUCUAUAAUAGAUAGAUUGGUAAGCAUAAUAUAUAGAUUAGUAAGUCAUUUCAUAUACUCUACAUAACAUAAGUAAUUAAGCAAAGCAGACUCUACAUAAGUGAUGAAACCUAAGAGGAGAAUAAAUGACUGGACUGGGGAAGAUAUAUCCUUGUGGAGAGCUACUUCCCUCAGACAUUCAGCAACAACCUAGACUUUACUAGCCUAGCUACCUUGCUUAAAGGAUCGGAACCUCCCAAACACUGCUUACAACUUAUUGAUGAAACAUGGUGACCUUGACGGGGCUCUGUAUACACAUAUGUUAAAAGAAGAGAGGAACCAUAAGUUUACUGUACAAAACCAUGAAGAAUGCUUUGGUGCAAAUAAGAGGUCAGCUGCCUAAUCACUCGCUAACGCGCCUGUAUCCUCAUACUCACUGACACUAAACUUCAAUGCUUGUACCCCGCCCCGGACUAACGCCCAAUCAAAUUAGGACUUGCUUUGCCAAAGACAUAAAGUGAGCGAUUUCUCCAAAGGGUAAUGUUGCUCCAAUACCUAACCAAAGGGCUACAGCGGUUCUUAACUUCAAGAAUAGGUUGGCAAAAGAGAAGCUCAUAUAGGAAAAGGAGAAGCUCAUAGAGUUUUGUAUAGAACUAAGUGAAGUAACCAACUAUAGCAUUCAAGUCAGGAACAGGAUAAGAAGUCGUGUAGUAUCUCGGUGUUGGCGAUGAGAGAAUGAGAGGUGUGGUUGGCAAUUCAUGAAGUUACGCUAAGUAAGAAACAAGUAACGCAAGGGAGGAUCCCAGUGGUAGAGAACAGAACCAUCGCUCCGGUAAGAUGUUAUUUAUACAAAAAUAUGCAUUUCAAACAAGGGCCCACGUAGAAGUGUUUAUAAGGGUUAGUUAACAGGCGUGAAACGCGGCUCAGGUCUCAGUGUUUGGAGUGAGAGUUCAAGCAAGAUUAAGGUCACAGAAUCAAUGACUUUCGAGUUGCUAAAACAGGACUUGCAUCUUGCCACCGUUGUUGGAACUCUAUCACUGGUUCUUGCGCUGGUGCUUGUUAGACUUGCAUCUUGUUCUGUUGUUUCAUGUUAUGUUCCAAAGCAGCUUACUAAUGCCGUAGCUACACUUGCUUACAGAGUUUACCACGAUAGAUUAAUUUCUUCAACAAUUACUGGAUGAUAUGCUUGUUAUCAGAGAUCCAAUCUUACUUAUCAAAUCUCUACGAAGACGGACGAAAUCAGAGAAAAGGAGAAAGAGAGGCAGUUGUUACAUUCGUUGGCCCGGAACUAGGUAAAGCUCUAUAAUUGUAAGCGCAGGAAGCACAAAGAAGGCUCGUGUAAGCUUGGGUUAGCUAGAAGUUAUGUAACGAGGCCCUGAUCGCUUACCGUGUGAGCGCCCGGGAGAAAUGGGUCGGGUGAACCCUAGCCUAACCAAAUGGCUAUUUGAGGGGUGUGCAAGGAAGUAUUUAAGUAAGUUCCUCGAGCUACUAACAAGUCCGUCCUAUAAAGAAGGGGUCAGAACAAGAAGGGUCGGUAGUUAGCAGCGCAGCAACCAAUCCACCUAAGGGAAUCAAUCAAUCCCAGAGCCUCGGUGAUUCGCGACGAAGAUAAUAUUGGAUCAUGCGCACCAACCCAAGGGAUUCUAGCAGCUAAGUGGAUCGAGCCAUUACUUUGAUGCUCUACCCACUAGCCCUAAACAACGGCCAAGUUUCACUGGGACUCAAGAGGGUGCAUGAAGCAGCUCCGGAUGACUUAGCUCGAGAAAUCCAAUUUGAAAGAAAGGGGAGCUGGACUCCCCGAACAUUAUAAGAAAGAUUUCACCGGCCUUCUUCUUUUUUACCAAAUCCAAUCCAGUCCUAUCGCAGUUCGUUGGGAAAGAAACGAUUUAUUAGCUAUCCUCCUGACCUGAGGCGAAUCGACCCGGAUGGGAUGGAAACUCGCCUAUAAGCGGGAGUGCUCACUAUCAAGUCUUGAUUGAUCGAGACAAAGCCAAAGAUAUGGUGGUACUCAACUCUAGGGAGCUACUGGCUAUGUGGGAGAAAUAUGACAUCCUGCUUGGGGAGCCAGGUGCCAAAGGCUUUGUUCGGUAUGGAAGAGGCAACUGCUUUGUACGUUUAUUGUGAACUCGCCGGCAAAGCAAGGUACUCGUAAGGUCGCUGCGUCUACUCGAUCGAACAGGCUGAGGAAAAUCCAAAUAACUCACCAAGGUGAUAGGAAUGAAUGCUCUUUCAAGGUGAUAGGAAUGAAUGCUCUUUAGAAACGGAUGGUGUUUGAUCCUUUCUUUUAUGAUCUAUGGGGGCUCUAUAUUCUGUAAAGUGCUCCAAUCCAAUACAAGGCGCAUGCAUUGCUGCAGCAACAAGGAAAAAAACGAACCGUGCUAUAAUCUUAGCAACUGGGCUAUACCUACUAAUUAUGACCUAUUCCAUGCAUUCGUCGCAUAAAAAAGUGCUUCAAGUGGAUCGAGUCAGUCGAAGUCAUCAUAAGCAGUACAACCAUCUUGGUAAAGUGGAUUUCUAGAGUUAUUUAUAUAUAGUUGUAUUUCUCAAGUGGGUGAGGCGAA